UCUUAGAGAAGUCUAUAUAUCGUAUGUUGAAUCAUGGACCUAUAAUAGGUCCAUGGUUGAAUUCACCAUGGGCAGUGUGCCAGGGUUAUCUCGAGCAGCAUUUACGCGGUUUUUCUUCCUGUGAGGAGUACCAUAUAGGUCCAUGGUAGUACGGGGGGACAACGCUUGGGCUUGCAAAAUCCAGACGAUGGCCUUGCUAUGCGUUACAUUGUUCCACUAGUGGAGAUUGAAUAAGCGCCCAAUUAAUCCUUCGGGUAGAUCGUUAUCGAUUGUUCAAAUGACCAGUAAUGGACAGAGUACUUUUAUUCAGUCGGCAUGUGCCAACAAUUCAUCGUGUAACCAUGUUGUAAUCAAGCUUGCCUCAGGCAUGUCAGGUGUGAAAAGCUUAAUAGAAUUGAUCAGCCAAAAUGACAAAGGCCCAGGGCCAGACAAUACCCGCCAGCACUAAAUGGUUCCGAUGCUUGUCCGAAAUUACAUGAAUGUAUCACGUGACCCAAACACGAGGUAAUUUAUACAACUUGGAGGCCCUCACAUUCAUAGCUCAUUUUCACUCUGGGGUUCAUUCCGCGAGAUGCAGUCCUCAGGCUCGGAUCGUACUGCUUCGGCCCACCCCUCUACACCGGCGGUAUGGUUGAAGGAGGGACACUCCCUACGUGGCAGAGACAUGUUCCCGGUCGCCGCGCGCUUAGUUCAUCCGGACGAGGUGGAUCCAGAGAAUUUCGCCAGUCUGUCAAGAAGAUACCCUCUUACAUCGUAUUCUUUCGACGACCUGGGCAGUGAAUUCAAAAAGCUUACUGGGUAUGACAUUACGGCGGUCCUGGGCAUGGCACAGAUGGAUGACAGCAUUUGCAACCGAAGCCUAACAGUCCACCAUGCAGUGCUACAGGCAAACCUGACAGGAGCCCCUGCGGGCCAAACCCUUCAGGCAUGUCAGGCUAAGGAGAAAGGCCAGAAGAGGAAAGCCCCAGAAGCCGCUGCAGGGGCACCCCCCAACGUGGAGCAGGGAGCUGACAAUAACAAUGUCCCGGCUCCUCACGCUGAUAAUGAGGAUCCAGCAGUACGUCUAAAACUCCUAGAGAAGGGGAGGUCAAGCGCAUAAGACAGACGCAAGAAGGCACAUCAGUCCAAACAGCCCUCUCUCAGUCGAGGGUCCAACCCGACAGAUGGGAACUCAACACCGGAUUCGAUCCUCUAAAAGCUACUUCCGAACGUAGGUCACCAAGGCGGACCGAGUGUCGGGGUUCGGUGCCCUCUCUCUCUUCGCCCACUGUGCUGUUACUAAAAGUUUGGGAUGUCAAAGAUGAAUACGAUUAUUGCUGUUCUAUCCUCUCCCUGACAUCAGCCAAUGUCCAAAGCCGGCAGUGAAUGUCAAUCCUAAAGUCUCCUCCUUAUGGAUAUACGCACAACGACAGUGGAUUGGUAUUUCAGUGUUUCAGUGUAUCAUCGGUCAGUGUCUCCCGUAUUUCAGUGUUUCCCUAUUGUUACGUUAUUCGCGGAUAAGCCAGUGGUGAUCAGGUCGGCAGAAAAACUAGUUCUUCAAUCUCGAGUGAUUACCAUGGAUACAGAAUUCGUAUGAAUAAAUUAUGACGCAUGUGCCAAAUAUGGGAAACAAAAUGGCGUUCCUCAGUGGAAAAGGAAGAUCAUGUGUUAUUGUUCGGUCACGUGAAUGUUGCGAGAUUUUAUUCAAAAUGUUGCCAUGUUUUUUUCAAGGAUUGCCACAUA